AUUUUUAAACGUUUUUAAAUAGACUUUGAUAGAAGCAUUCAAUAUCUUGGUGUUUACAAAAUUUCUGUUUUAUAAAUAUAGUUUUACAAAUUGUUUUACUUAUAAAUAUGAUGGUGCUUAACCUGACAAACUCACUAAAUUGAGAGACAAUAUGAAUAUAUGUCUAUAUCCAAUUGAACAUUGCUUGAAGACAUCUUAUUAUUUACCUAUUAUAAAUUUGAAAAAUACCUGUUUAUUUAAACAACAAAAAGUAGAGUAGAAUUCAUGAACACAACGAGGAAAAUUUAAUUAUAAUAAAUACUCGUAAUAGCUUUCUUAUUUAUUGUAAAACUAGAAACAAGCAGUGGCUAUUUUUCCAGUAUUUACCUAUAACACAGAAUCCUUAUGAAGGUGUGUAAAUAAUUGAUAUUUUAUACAAAGAAUAAUCGUUGAAUAAAUUGCAAGAGAAUUUGGUAAAAUACAUGAGACCAAUGCGGGAGAUGGUUUUGUUAAACCUGCCUAAUUAAUUAAAUAAAUUUUAUUGAACAUA